rnacentral:lncRNA from 1 species
AGGCACUUCCUGCUGGCUCCUUCCAGACAAGGAGCCUCUGUUCGCCUUGGGACUGGGGAGCAAACAGCCUCUGACUGUCCCAGCUGGGUAGGCUGGAACUUGGAUGUGCAUUGGCAGGUCUGCAUUGGCAGACCAGAUGUCACCAUACAGACAACAAUAUCCUACAGGACAGAAAAGCUUGAAAGUAAAAGAAACUUUGGUGUUUGAAUAAACCACACAUUUGUCCUGGACAACCUGCCUAUCGUUGAACUGUUACAUGAGAGAAAAAGAGAUUUCUCUCUUAUUUGAACAAUUGCAUUUUCAAGUCUUUUUGUUACAGCAGCAUAACUGAUACCCUAACCCUGACAAAUACAUUUUUAAACAAAAGGAGGAAUGCUACUAUCGUACUCUAUGCUGGUCCAGUCUUACUUGGGGUGCAGUAUUCUCAUCUGUGAAUCACAUUUCAAGGGGCCUAAAGACAAAGUAGAAGUGUUCAGAUAACAGCAACAUGAUUGGUGAGAAAUUCAAAGUUGAAGAAACUGGAAGAGCAGAUUUAGAGUAAGUAGGAGUGCCACUUUCAAAUGUCUGAGGAACUGGCCUGUGAAAGAAUGAUUCACUUUGUUCUGUGUAGUUUCAGUAGAUAGAAGUAUGGUUCAACGGGAAAACUGAUUUUGCUGAAGAGAAAGAUUUCUGGCUGUCAGGUCUGCAUAGACAUUGGAGGCACUGAGUUCCCUGCUCAUGGAGAUAUUUUUCACAGAGCCUGGAUAAUCAUUUGGCUGGAUUUGUAACAACUGUGUAUCAUACAGCAUGAAAAUGCAUUUUCUAGCUUCCCUUGAAGUGAAAUGUGAGCAAAAAUGAUGCCAGCCACUCCCAGACCGGCCCAUAGAAACCUCCCAUAUUCUUUCUUCUUCUGCUGCUGGAUAUUGACACAGGGGAUGACUUUGAAAGCUGAGUAUUGAAGAUGGCAGAAGCUGUCUUUCAGCCUUGGUCCCUGAACAACAUGUUGAGCAGAUCCCGUGGUAAUCUGGAACUGCCCUGGACUGUGUAAGUGAGUGAGACAUAAACUCUUACUAUGCUUGAGCCAUUUUACAUGUAACAGCAGUUAGCUUUCCUUACUUAAUGCUCUUUAUACCCUGCUACUAAAUAGCAAGAAUUGUAACUUUAGAUCACAGGACUAUGUGAAUAGUCAUUAUAUUUGUCAACAACUCUAACAGGCUGAACUUUUUAUUCCUCAGUUAUUUAAAAUUGUGGUAAAAUACACAUAACAUAAAAUUUACCAUCUUACCCAUG